CUGCUGCCUUCCGUAGGAGUUUGGGCCGUGUCUCAGUCCCAAUGUGGCCGUACACCCUCUCAGGCCGGCUACUGAUCGUCGCCUUGGUAGGCCGUUACCCUGCCAACUAGCUAAUCAGACGCGGACCCAUCUCAUACCACCGGAGUUUUUCACACAAAACCAUGCGAUUUCGUGCGCUUAUGCGGUAUUAACAGCCGUUUCCAACUGUUAUCCCCCUGUAUGAGGCAGGUUAUCCACGCGUUACUCACCCGUCCGCCA
rnacentral:rRNA from 1 species